rnacentral:rRNA from 1 species
AUUGAACGCUGGCGGCAUGCCUUACACAUGCAAGUCGAACGGUAACAGGUCUUCGGAUGCUGACGAGUGGCGAACGGGUGAGUAAUACAUCGGAACGUGCCCGAGAGUGGGGGAUAACGAGGCGAAAGCUUUGCUAAUACCGCAUACGAUCUCAGGAUGAAAGCAGGGGACCGCAAAGCCUUGCGCUCACGGAGCGGCCGAUGGCAGAUUAGGUAGUUGGUGGGAUAAAAGCUUACCAAGCCGACGAUCUGUAGCUGGUCUGAGAGGACGACCAGCCACACUGGGACUGAGACACGGCCCAGACUCCUACGGGAGGCAGCAGUGGGGAAUAUUGGACAAUGGGCGCAAGCCUGAUCCAGCCAUGCCGCGUGCAGGAUGAAGGCCUUCGGGUUGUAAACUGCUUUUGUACGGAACGAAAAGACUCUGGUUAAUACCUGGGGUCCAUGACGGUACCGUAAGAAUAAGCACCGGCUAACUACGUGCCAGCCGCCGCGGUAAAAC